rnacentral:rRNA from 1 species
CUACGGGAGGCACCAGGCGAGAAAACUUUGCAAUGUGCGAAAGCACGACAAGGUUAAUCCGAGUGGUUUCUGCUAAAGGAACCUUUUGACAGUCCUAGAAACACUGUUGAAUAAGGGGUGGGCAAGUUCUGGUGUCAGCCGCCGCGGUAAAACCAGCACCUCAAGUGGUCAGGAUGAUUAUUGGGCCUAAAGCAUCCGUAGCCGGCUCUGUAAGUUUUCGGUUAAAUCUGUACGCUCAACGUACAGGCUGCCGGGAAUACUGCAGAGCUAGGGAGUGGGAGAGGUAGACGGUACUCGGUAGGAAGGGGUAAAAUCCUUUGAUCUAUUGAAGACCACCUGUGGCGAAGGCGGUCUACCAGAACACGUCCGACGGUGAGGGAUGAAAGCUGGGGGAGCAAACCGGAUUAGAUACCCGCGUAGUC